rnacentral:rRNA from 1 species
UACAGAGGGUGCGAGCGUUGUCCGGAAUCACUGGGCGUAAAGGGCGCGUAGGUGGUGGCUUAAGCGUGCGGUGAAAGCUCGGAGCUCAACUCCGAGUCGGCCGUGCGAACUGGGCUCACUGGAGCAUAGUAGAGGCAGGUGGAAUUCCGGGUGUAGCGGUGGAAUGCGUAGAGAUCCGGAAGAACACCGGUGGCGAAGGCGGCCUGCUGGGCUAUGGCUGACACUGAGGCGCGAAAGCCAGGGGAGCGAACGGG